UACGUAGGGUGCGAGCGUUAAUCGGAAUUACUGGGCGUAAAGCGUGCGCAGGCGGUUUUGUAAGUCAGAUGUGAAAUCCCCGAGCCCAACUUGGGAACUGCAAUUGUGACUGUAUGGCUAGAGUGUGUCAGAGGGGGGUAGAAUUCCACGUGUAGCAGUGAAAUGCGUAGAGAUGUGGAGGAAUACCGAUGGCGAAGGCAGCCCCCUGGGAUAACACUGACGCUCAUGCACGAAAGCGUGGGGAGCAAACAGG
rnacentral:rRNA from 1 species